GCUGGGCAUGGUGGCGCAGGUCUGUAAUCCCAGCAGCUCAGAAGGCUGAGACAGGAGGAUUGCAAGUUCAAAGCCAGCCUCAGCAAUGGUGAAGUGCUUAGCAGCUCAGUGAGACCCUGUCUCUA
rnacentral:sRNA from 1 species